rnacentral:lncRNA from 1 species
UUAUUUGCUGCCUGCUUUUCAUUAGUAUUAGGAGAACGCUGUUGUUAUAUUUAAUCACUUCAAGAUUGUAAUCAUGCACCAUGACCAUGUCAUACAGAUUGAAUUUUUUUAUCUUGUUGAAAAGUAUAACUGAUUUACAGAUUGACCCUCAUCUCAUUUUCUAAGAAUAGAAAUAUAGAUUUAUAAAUGUAAAUUGUCACAUCGCAGCCGAAAGUUGGUAACUCAAAAUAGCUACAGUUCAACAUCAAAGUAUGACAUUCGUGAAACAUUAUAAUUGGUGGUAGUUGAACGCAUAAUUUUAGUUCAUUUUACGUACUCUAAGCUAGCCGUUGCAACACCUGAGAUGUUGCUGUUCAAUUGUUGUUAGUUACUGAGCUUGAUCAUUGGUUGUUCAUAUUGACCAAAAAUAGAAACAUUGAUAAAAAAAUAUAAGAGCAAACUCUCAAUUUUGCACCCAACAAAAUCGAGACGUUAUAAAUAUAAAUGUUCAAAUGACAGGCAGAACUUGGUAGCUCAAAAUGGACAUCAGGCUUAUGUUAAAUAUUACAUUAUAAUAGGUAGUAGAAUGCAUAAUAUUAUCUUUUACAUUUUACACAUUUUUGGCCAGCUGUUGCGACUUCCCAGAUGUAUUCAAUUGACAUCUGCAACUGAGCUUGAUAACUGGUUAAUGUCUGUGUUUAGUUUUAAGUUUUAACACUUCGCUUUUUGUCAUUCAAAUGUUUCAUUAAAAUAUUCACUUUCUUGUAAACUAAUAUGCAGAUCACUCCAUCCGUGACAUUUAUAAUGGUUCUGCUUGCCUUAUCUCCUUGUCUUUUCAAGGCUUGGAAGAAUCCACAGCCACAAAAGAUUACUAGAUGGAUAUCAUAUGCGUAUACCUGUGGUUUUCUUUUUGGGUGGCAUGUGCAUGAGAAGGCAUCACUCCAUUUUGUAAUUCCACUCGCCUUUGUUGCAGCACAAACCCCGGAGGAUGCAAAGCAUUACUUUUUGUUGUCAAUAGGUAUGCUGUUAAUGCUCGUUAAUUUGUUUGCUAACUUAUGAGGUUUUCUUUUUCUUCAGUUUUUUUUCUUUAAUAUGAAAGUAACAUGAACAAAAGCAUGUCAUUUAUGCCCUAAGCUUUCUUAUUCCCAUUGGUAAUUUCAUUGAUAAUUUUAUCGAAAAUGAGGUCCAUAACCAAAUUAUUAAAAUAAAGUUUGGAGUCUUAACUUGGCAAUUUUUAUGGUUAGAUUCUUAUUUUUAUUUUUGGGUUGCUCUAUGACCAUCUUUCUACUAAAGUUUUAUCGGAUGAUUCCUAUUAUUUGGUUGCUAUGUGACCAUCUUUCCUUAUGAUCUUAUUAAAGUGAACUUCACACAGGGAUAUUGAUUGCUUGGUGAAGAGGGUCAAUUACUAUCUCUUUUUGUAAUGUCUGAGUUUGAGUUGGUUCUGAUCUUGCACUCCUGAUAAUAACUUAUAAUUUACUUGGAUAAAACUCUAUCGGAGUGAACUUGUCUGUAAAGUAGAUUGAUCAAGAAUAAUAAAAGAUUAAAGAAAACCAAGAAGCAAUACUUUUCAGUUGCCGAUUAAUAUUUGUUAUGAUGAGUGAGAAUGUUUAUGGAUGCAAAAAAGAAGCAGAAGUUUCUAAUCAUUUUUUUUGGAUAUGUUGUGUGUGCAGUAUCCUGCUAUUCUCUUUUUCCGCUACUCUUUGAGGCACAGGAGUAUCCUAUCAAAAUUCUGUUGUUGCUUCUUCACUCCAUUUUGAUGUGGUCUGGCUUUUCAGCACAGUUUUACGACAGUGCCGAAACAGGAGUGUCGACUGCUCACACAAAGAAAAAAGCUGGCCAAUUUGAAUCUAAAGGUAGUUUAAGUGCAGAUGUGAGGAAUAAUGGUUUUGUUAUUGGCUUGAUAGAGAAGAUAUAUCUGGUUGGUCUUGUAGUUGUAGAGAUAUGGGGCCAAGUUUUACACCCUCUGCUUUUGGGUGAUAAGCUUGCAUUUCUUCCCCUUAUGUUGAUCUCUGUAUACUGUGCUUUGGGGAUCAUGUACUCUUGGAUAUGGCAGUUAAGAUCCAUAGUUAAAUCUCAUUAACUUUUUGUCUGUCUGUGGUCAUAUUAAAUUUUCUAUUUAUGGACUUUUUAUAAGUAGAAUUUCAAGUAAUUUUCUGUGAUCAUAUGCUGCCUCUGCCUCAAGUUCUAUGGAAUUAUACUACAGCUAGACAUAUAAUUAGGUUAUGCCUAUAUUCCUACUAUAAUGUUGGCAUUACUGGCAAAACGGGAUAAAGCUUUGCAUAUCAGCUGAAUAAGUUUGAAUCCUUCUGCUGGGUCAACAAUUCUGUCUGGAAUGUGUAUGCAAACACACAAUGAGUAGUUUCUGUAGAGAGAUUUUCUUGAAAGUGUACCUUUUGUGUGAAUUUGAUCUGUUGGCGGAUAAUCUUAAAAUAAAUCAAUCAAAUUAUUGUAUUUCCAUUUUUCAUUUUUAACAGAAACAAGGUUAACAGAGGUGACAAUGGUCAAUGAAUCUAUUGCAUUGCAUUAUAAUCGUGCAAAGUUAUCAUUUAACAACCAUAGUUAAAAAUCCUGACCUAAAUUAUAAAUUAUAAUGAGAUACGUUAGCACUACCUCACAUUAUAGCCUAUGUAGAAUUGAGUGACACCACAAAAAUGUACAGAUAAGGAAAAAUGAUCACUUGAUAAUUCUUGAAAGGAUAUAACUGGAAAUUGUAUUCUCAACAAGAAUGAACGGUCAAUAUUAUCUCUGCUCUAUGAAGAAAAGAAAUACACAGCAUCUUCGCUGAAAAACAUUCUAUGGCCGUCGCCACCUAUUUGUUAAAGGUGAAUGAGAUUUUGGAAUGAAGGACUCAAAUUUCUCAAAAGACCAUUUUAUGUCUCAAAAGAAAUUACGCUUGUUUGUUUUUUAUGUUUUAUGUUUUUGUUUUUUGUUUUAAUAACAAUAGCAAUGAAGGUGUGUCUCUUAGUAUUAUAGUCAGGAGGAUAGGAUUGGGGUGUACCCAAAAAAAUUAUUUUAUUUUAUUUUUUGGUCGAAAAAAAUAUAUAUAUUUUUUUUUAGGGAAAAUAUAUUUUGUUUUAAUAAGUAGGUAAAAGCAAGGUUGUCAAAACUGAACCGGACCGGCCAGUUCAACCGAUUGGACCAGGAACCGGACCUAUGUCCGGUCCGAGUCACGGCUAAAACCGCCCUGGCAAAAAACCGGUAAACCGGACAAAAACUGGGAAAACCACUAAAAACCAAAGGUCCAACGGUUUUGGCCGGCUCAGACUAUUUCUUUGCUUUUUUGCAACAAAAAACAAAACUUUAAACUAUUUUGUUUUAAAUAGGAUAUUUUUUUAAAAUAUAUCCAAGCAAAACUACUGUUCCAAACGUCCAAUCUAGGUGGAACUUUUGCUCUAUACCUGAAGCCCUGAAUCUACUUUUAUAACCAAAGUUUAAGAAUCUAGUUUGAAAUUCUUCGAUGUGGGACUUAUUGUGUUGUUGUGUUUACAUCAUCCAACAUCAGUAGUUUUUCACUCUUCCUAAUGCAUUCACGUCACAAACAGACACACACUAUAAUUUUGGCUCUUGAUUAUCUUCAAUUAGACUAUGAUCAAGAAAUAAAAUAUUCAUUCCACUUCAUUUAGAAAAAAUACAUACUUCAUUCCACAGAUAUAUCAUUUCUUAAGUAAUAUAUUCAUCCUUUUUUUGGUAUCAACUAAUCUAUCCAUCUAACACUAAAUAAUGUAAGCAUGAUUCCUGCUAUAUAUAUAUAUAUAUAUAUAUAUAUAUGUUAUGUGGGAAAAUGUAUAAUAAAUUUUUUUGGAUUUAUGAAAUAAGAGUUUGGAUACAAAAAGUUUUUUAUAUAUUUAUCAACACUUUAUAUAUAAUAUUUUAAAUAAAAAUGUAUAUUUUACAAAACCGGUUGAACCCCGGUUCGACUCCGAUCGAACCUUCAAACCCUGAACCCAAACCUACAUCGGUUCGAUGUCCGGUCCGGUUUUAAUUACCUUGGGUAAAAGUUUUAUUUGAUCACCCUAGUAAUAUGUAUAUUUUGCUAUCUCAAAUAAGUAUUUUUUUUUGGGUAAAAUAUUAGUAGAAACAAUAAAAUCAAAACAUUAUCAAUUGAUUGUUAAAUUUAUUUUCAUUUUAUUUUGACACUUUCAAUCUCUUCAAUAAAUAUUUUAACUUUUAAGAUAAAUUAAUUAAUUUGUAAAAAAAAAAAAGAUAAAUUAAUUUGGCCCCCUCGUAAUAGUUUUUUAAAAAAAAGAUCCAUAGCUUUGAAGAGAGAUGUAACACGCACAUUUUUAAAAUUGAUGAUAUUGAUUAAUUAUUUAUACAUAAAACUAGGAGGGAGUAAUAAAAAUGGAGUUAUCAAUUAGUUUUAAGGAAUGAAGAUGAAGAUGGAAAGUACAAAGUAAGAGGGAAAAGAGUAGUACUACUACUACUACUAGUAGUAUACAAUACAAGGAAUGAUGAUGACACUAUUAUAAUAAGGGAUGAUAUUACGUAGAUGUCCAAUUGGGAGGUGACCAGUUCUGACGGUCAAUACCAAUAGUUGGUGGUCAACAACGAUGUUAGCAGUUGCUAGCUAUGGUACUUUCAAGUUUCAACCGUUGAUUAGAACCAGGCUUUGGCUUUGGCGUGGCUGAGUUUUGAUUACAAUGUCACAUUGUAUACUGGAAAUAAUACAGGGUUAGUGCAACCAACCAUUGAAUAAGAAAGAAUUAACUGCCGAAAAUGUUACCUUACUAUGGUUUUCUUUUUCUUCCAUUUUUGAGGAUUUUGAGCGUUAGAAAUUGUUUUUCUUUUUAAAGUCAAUGUGUCAUUAAUAUAGAAUCACUUAGAAUGUCACAUGUUCAUUGUAUUAUAUGAUCACAACCUAUGAUGAUUGAAGUUAAGGGAAGAACCAUUUUGAUUGACACAUUUUGAUUUUAGAGAUGCAUUUGCGAAUUAGUGAAAAUCAUUGACUAGUUUAGAGAAUACUCACAAUUUCAUGUAGAAAUUUGCCUCUCCACUUCAAUAAGAAUAUCCAUCAUUCAAACAUAUCACAAACUAUUAUAAUUGAAUCUUAAAAUCAAUUAAGUAUAUAUGCUACCUAUCUCUAAUUUUUAUUUUUAAAUUUAUUAAAUAAUUGAUGUAUUUAGUCUAUUUUAUUGUGAGUCAUGUUAUUUUAACAUGAUAUGAGGUCAUUGUGCAGUCUUUGGCUUAUAACAGAACAAAAAGCAAAACAGAUACUCCCCGAUUAGGCCAAACGGUUUUUCUUUGCAAUCCGCAUGGCAUGAUAUGCAUAUCUAUACGGUAACCAAACAUGUCAUGUCCUUCAUAUGUUCAUCACAUACAAUAAUGUACACACAAAUAAUUAAUUAUUCCAAUCAUUACUCAUUAAUUGUCACACACACACACUCAAGAUAUUUUUCUAACAAAUGGCAUGAAUUCGAUUCCAACUUAAAAAUACAACCCUGUUAAAUUUCUCCCUCUUAUAUGGACCAAUAUUAGCUGCAUGCCAAUUUCAUGGCUUUUCUCCGGCCAAACUAAACCUCUGACACCGGCGACCGGACAUUUUUUUUUCUCAUUUGUAUCCCAAAAACAAAUAGAAAAGACGUUAAAUUUUUUUGCGAUAUACAUAAUGUGUGUGUUUAUAUAUUAAUUCAUAGUAUCUGUUAUGCAAUUUCUUUAUGAAGAAAAACAAAUAUACUAUGCAAAUACAUAAGAUCGUCCAUUAGUACUACCAUAUGUUCUCAAUUUUAAUAUAUCAUAAAAAUCAAGGCUGAUUCAUGGGUUAAAAGCAUAUCUAAAUAAAAUCUUAUCUAAAAUUUUCUAAAAUUUAGUAAAAAUCUCAUAUUCUACAAUUUUCUAAACUAAAAUUAAUAAAAUCUUAUCUAAAGUUAAUAUUUUCCAAACAAAUAUUAAAUUGAUUGACUAUACUUUCAAUUAAAAAGUAAUAUUAAAAAAUUCCAUUAACUAAUUUAAUAAAUGAUUUUGUAUUUCAAAACGCCUAAAAAGUAAAACUUCAACAAAAUUUAGUAAAUUUAAUAAAAUAGUACAUUUAUAUUUUUCAAAAUGCCUCACAUUACAAUUUGUCUUAGAUCUUCAAAUGUGUUCUACCAACUCCGACUAAAAGCAAAAAUUUGAAAGUGGAGACAAAUAAUCCAACUCCAAAAGUUGUAAGGAUGAACAUUUUGGGGUUAAGUAUUAGAAGAAAUCUAAGACUAAACUAGAUACUCUUAAUUAAUUAUUUAUACAAUCAAAUAAGCAUUAAAAAUAAAUUGGGACUAAUAUAAUUCAACAAUUAUAACCAUGCAUAUAUGCUUUUGUCAAAAUACCCAGUUCUCUCUGUGAAAUCUUUGUAACAUGCAUUAUCGACACAAUCACAACUACAUAUAUAAAUAUAUAUCAUAUAUGCUAAUUGCCUGAAAUCCUAAAUAAUAAUGUAGCAUAGCUUAUCACAUGAAUAAAAUUAAAUUAAUCAAAGCCAAAGAGCUCCAGCUUCCUUAAGAAGAGGAAUGAGUGCACCAUUGAUGUGUUUGGCCAACAAGAUCUCCACACCACCAAGAAACUUUCCACAGACGAAGACGGCAGGGAGUGGCUGGCGGGUGUCACCAGAAAGCUGGCAGAGGGCAGCAAGAAUGGCGGAGCCGGAAGCAUGCCGAUCAAGCUCAAUGACAGUGGGGCCUACAGCAAGGCUGAAGAGGAGGUUCUUGGCGACGGUGGAAAAACAGCAGUCGGUGGAGCUGAACACAACGACGACAUUAGAGGAGGCAAGGUGGGUGACCAUCUCUCGAGGAGUCAUGUUCUUGAAUGGUGUUGUGGAUGAAAUUGAUGAAGACUCAAUAUCCAUAUUGUUACAAAUGAUUAGAUACAAAGAGAUGACUAGAGAGGGGGUAUAUAUAGGGCGUUCAUGCAAUAAAGUAAUAUUAUUUUGUGUGUAAAAAUAAUAUCAUGAAGGAUAAAUUUUUUAAAUUAUUGUAAUUAUUUUCUUAACAUAAUUGUUAGUAUUGAUGAAGGUUGACUCAGUUGAAAAGAAAUUGACACAUUUGCAAUGCCGUAGUUCAACUCUCAUUGUCCUUGUGAGGAUCUCAUUGGUAGAUGACUAUUAAAUAUAUUUGUAAGCGGUCUUUGAAUUUUGUGAUCUGAUCCUAGUGAACGCCGAAGCUCAACUCACCUAAACUUUAUUUAAUAAAAAAAAUGUCAUAGUAAAAUUUUUAAGUUGCUUUAUUUUAUUUUUUAUUAUUCAAAAUUACAAAGAGCAUGCAUACUGUUUUAGUAAAAUUGUAUCAAUAUUGCUUGCCAUUUGUAUUUCCAUUAUAUUUUAUAUUUUUUUUAAUAUAAUUAGUUAAUAAAUAUUCAAUCUUUCUAACCUAACAUAUCAUAAAGAUUUUUUUUUAAAAAAAAAAAACGGGUCUCAUCAAUAUUUAUAUAUCGUCAUGGUCAACAAUAAUUUAUUAAAUAAUAGUUAUCUAAAUUUUGAAAUAUUGGAUUAAUUAAGGUCUACAAAUUAUAAAAUUUAUUGGCUCUUUGCUAUAGAAAAUGUUUGGUGUACACCUCUAGAGGUGCAUACAUUUUGAGAGAGAUAGAGAUAAAUAAAGUGUUGUGAUAGAUAUGAUAAAUUAAUGAUCCGAUAGAAAGAGAGAGAUAGAAAGAAAAUGUGGUAUCUGUUGGAUAUUUUACUUUGAUUGUGGUCCUAGCCUCUUAAUUGAACAUUUGAAUUGUCUUCAUUCCAACCUUCAACACUUUCAUUGUGUUGAAUUUGAAAGGAUGUAUUCAGUCCCACAUUGAAUAGAGAUAUAGUAUGUCUAGUAUUUAUAAAGCAUGGACAUUUCUCACUUUAUAAGUCGGUUUUGCAAGAAUGAGUUAAUGUCAAUAUAAAAAUUUAAUAGCGUCGAAUGAUUGUUUGAAAAUAAAAGGUGAAAAAAUAUAUUGUUGUUUGCUUUGUAUUAAGUAAAAUAUGAUAGCUUUAAAGACUAUAUGCUAAAUGGUGUAAAAACACAGCCAACGAAAAUCCAAACUCCAAAUGUUUGAUCUAUUUGUAAAACAUAGAUAUUGAAUUUGAAAGUAACCUUAAUUCGACGACAACGGUAGAUAGAACUUGUUAUACCUGGGACAAUGGUUUAUAGCUAAAAACGGUUAGGUAAUGUUUUGAAACUUACUAAAUUACCCUUCUAUUUAUAAUUGAUUUGGACAAUGAAAAAUGUGGUUUUUGGUAGAUAACAAGUGGGUGUAGCUUGCUAACUUGCACCUUAGUGUUUUUAGAUGGGUGCAAAUUAGUAGUCCCCUUCAUUAAAUACUACCGUCUUAGUUUGAAGCGUUAUUCCCAUACACUUAAUUUUUUAUUAUAAGAAAAUCAACAUCAAUUUUUUUUUUCUUUAUGAAAUGAGAAACUCAACAUCAGUUAAAAACAAUGUUCAACAUCAAUAAAUAAAAAUUAAUUAGGAGUAUUUUUUUUAUUUUUCCUAAUAUUAAAAUGAAAUUGUACGUAAUUAAAGUGUGAUAUGUAUUUAACAAAAGUGGUGCAUGUGGGGACUAUAAAUGAUAGGAGGGGCGAGAGUGAUUAUUAAAACACUCAUCCUUGAAUCCAUUUGAGUUGGUAUGAUAAUAUUGAUUUGAGGUCUCGAAGUGUGUUUCUUCUCAAGGUUUUAAGCUCGAUUUUCCGGUGUUAAUUUGGGUAGACUAAUUUAACUUCUUUAAAAAAAAAAACAUAGAAGCAAAUCAGUUCAAGUGAAUGGUUGUUCCGAGAUAGAACGAAAAAAAUUGAAUUUAAUUAAUUCAAUUUAUACAACUUUGGAACAAUUCGAAAAUUACAAAAAUGAAUUUUGAACAACAAAGGGCGAUUAAACGGAUACACAUAUAUUAAAUAAAUUGAAAAAUAAUAUUAAUUUUUUUACUAUUUAUUUAUUAAUUUAAAUUAUGGGGAACAUAAUUAAUAGAAUUGGAAAUUCUUUUUCAUAAUUACUUAUAAGAAAAUGUUAUAAAUGAUUUGUUAAGAAAUCUAAAAAAAAAUUUUUAUCUCAGAACUAGUGUAUCACAUUCAACACCAUAAAACUUCAGAAAAUGCCUUUUUCUACUUAAAUUUUUCAUUUAUUUUACUUUAUAACUUUCUAAUAUACUCUUAUUAACAUGACCCUUGUUCAUAAGUAUGUGUUUUCUCUUUUUAAUCAUGACACACUCUAUUUUUUUUUUAAGUAGUCUAAUGACUAAAAAAUUCACCUUUUAAGAUGAAUAAGUGAGGAAUCCGACGUUCGAACAUCGAUCCCUGCAUAUAAAAUGAGGGAUUGCACUUUUGUGACAUAAUGUCAUAUGACAUUCGUCAAUUCAAGUGUGACACAUGACAAUAAUUUUUUUUAAACAUAAAAAUAUGUGAAAAAGAGCGAGAGAUAAUAGUUGAAUUGACUUAUGUAUUACAAUUAGAUUGACCAAUAUUAGAGACAUUCCAAUCUUAAGGGUGCACAAAUGGAGUCCUAGAACAAGAUGUCCAUACCAAUUGAACUACGUUCGUUGGGAUGUUGCACAUCCUAUAUAUACAAAAAAAUGAAUUGAUGCCCGAGAAUUGAACAAAUGUUUCAUGUUAAUCCUUAAAUUUAAAAAAUUGCAAUGCAUUCUCUAACAUUAAAGAAUAAUGGUCCAUAUAUAGUCUUUUUUCUUCCUUCCAAAUUCAACAACCCAAUUUUGAAAAUACUUGUUUGUUUGUCUUGACGCAACAGACGAUUAUUUGAGACAAUGUUUAAGUUUUUCAUUAGUUUUGAUGAAUGUUUGCUAAAGAAACAAUUUGAUAGAGAAAUUACAUUAACUGAUCUUCUCUAUUUUACGAGACAAGGUUAUUAUUUUACAAAUUUUAGCGAUUAUAUUAUUAUUUAGAUAAAUUAGAUACUAAUUGAACUUGCUGUAUAUAUUUGGCUACUUAAUUAUCAAUGAGAAUCGUUUCUUUUCGGAGAUGAAAAGUCAAAGCUAAUGCCCAGCUGGUUCUGUUAGUCGCACCCUCUACAUCCUAGUUACAUCCAUCUUACACAAAUUAUUUAAAUUUAACAAGGGUUUAAAAUAGUUCUUGUCUCAUAUAUAUUUAUAAAACUAAUUCUAUAUUGAUUAUAUAAAUCACUUGUUUAUUUUAUCUGAAAUUUUUUAUGUUUUUUCAUCUAAGAAUCAUACGUAACUCAAUUCAUGUAUCGUCAAGGAUAGUUUUGAUACGUAUCUGGACUCAGUUUACAUACAAUAUGUGAAUUAUAAAUCCACACAUAUAUAAACACAUUAUCUUAGUUAGUUCACAUAAUCAUCCAAUUAGAUAUUUGAAAUGUAUUUACGUAAGUUGAAUUAACAUAUAUGUAUCUGAAUUAAUUUCACAUGUAAAUGUGUAAACUAAAUUCAUGUAUAUGCAGUACUCCAAAAAAAAAAUUAAAAAAAAUUCAUGUAUAUGCAUGUUUUACUAAAACUAUAUAUUAUGUAUACGCCAAAUGAUAAUGGUUGAAAAUUUGAAAAGAAACUAGAUAUAUUUUCAUCAAAAAGGGUGUAACUAAAUAAAUUCUAACUAUUUAGUAGAAAAAAAUUAUAUCGCUAAUUAUGAUUAUCAUAUUAUAAUUAUAGUGUUAUGUUAUAUACAAUGUCGUCUUAACUUCAAAGGGUCAAGCCUUAGAAAUUAUUUUAUGAUCAAAUAGAGCAUUUCCUUUACCAAAUUUCAUGGCAAUGAAUGAAACCUCCUAACGUGAUUAAGAAACUGAAAAACAGGCAAAAGACAAGCCCUGAUUGAGUUCCCACCAAAAAGCCUCCACCAUGAAUCAACUUUGCUCUUUAACUUUUCCCAGAAAACUACAAUAUAAUUUUGGUUUCUAGUCACCAAUAACGCCGUAGAUUGUAAGUAAACGGAAGCUGCACGCUUAACCAAUUCGUUCUUGAUAGCAAUGUCCGAGUCAAAAACAUUUCCUUCAUACAAUGAACAUCUUGUUGAUGUAUUGCACAUAAUGUCCUUUAAACUUAUGUAAUGUAAGUUGUCAUUGAUAUCUGAAUGUCUUCUUUCUAUUGAGGAUUUGUUUGGAAUUCUUAAUGAACGUGAUGAACGUGAAAUUAUCUCAAGCUCUUCUAUCUCUAUUUCCAUUUUUUUUAACAUAAGUCAUGUGAUAUUGAAAUAAUAUUGUAUUGAGUUGAGGACAUGUUAAUUUGGUUUAUUGUAUCAAUUCUGUGAAUUUUUUUAAUUUGGCAUGUUAUGGAGGAUGGAAAAGAAAAGGGGUGUGCAUUUUUCUAAUUUAGGAGUUAGGUACAUUAAAAUCACCUUUAAGUUUGUUUUUUUAGGGCUUCAAAAAUGGUAGGGUGAGAGAGAGACGGAGAGAGUUUGUUGAGCAAAAGAUGGGCUUCCUUUCAUAUAGGGACCCCAAAAUAGAGGGUUUAUAUUAAAUUUUUAUUGAGCUUUUCACUUCGAUGAAAAGUAUAUACAUAUAAAACAACCUUAUUUGAAUUAAAUCACAUGUAACCUUAUUUGUCCUUAACAAUCAUAAAUUAUUUUUUAAGUUUUUUUUAUAAGAAAUUUUGUAAUUCGUUUGAAAUCAACACAUGUAUGUCAUUUUCCCUUCUCUUUCAACCAUGUCGCUUUCAAAAGUAAGACAAUUAGAAAUCAUGUCAAAACAAACGCUAGGCUUCAAAGUUGAAUGAUCCAUUUUUUAAUGUAAUGAAUGAAUGAUCCAUUAUACACAUGCACUGCCAAAGAUAUAUACUCUUUUUAUUAGUUUUAAAAAUAAAUUAUGUUUUAUAAGAGACGAUGCUUUUGAAUUUCGCUCAAUCGUUUUGUUUUUUGAUGAUCCACAACUAUUCCCAAUCUCAAACUACACUAUAUAAUUAAGACUUCAUAGGAAAAAAGGUCGUGGUAAUUCAAAUUUCGAACGGAAGAUAAGCAAGAAGUUUUGAAUGGUAGUAAUAAUUACACUCUUUAUAAUUGUGUUUACACUUCAAAAUAAGUGACUUGCUAGCUGAAAUAGGCAAAUAUUCGAAUUUAAGGUAAUGUGAGUUCUUAACUUCUUUGUUUUUUUUAACAGCAAAUAUUAUUAAACAAUCAAAUCUCUGCUUAAGACGAACAUAAAUUGGUGAAACUGAGAAUACAAACAAAAGACGCUGUAUAGCCGAAACACCCGAAAAUAAACACUUUAAAAACACCCUAUGACAACACCCACCAAAAUACACGUCAUCACCUAAAACAAACCCCUUCACGAAAACGACCACUGUAAAAACGAUAUCCAAUACCACCCAUCGUCAAUUAAAUGUGAGUUAGUCGAAUCUUGCUAGGUCUACAAAGGUCAUGGGAUGUAAGAAUCACUCAAAACUUAGCAGAAAACUUGACAAUUUGACAUUUUACUCAUGUUCAUGUUUGUAGCGCCACUAAAUCAAGUAGCUAAGAGCAUGGGUGUUCCAUGUUUGUAGCACCACUAACCGAAGUAGCUAUGAACACAUACGUUCCAUGUUUGUAGCACCACUAACCGAAGUAGCUAUGAGCAUGGAGUCACAUUAUGAGGAGGUUGCAUGGAAUUAAAUUUAAGACGCCACAUAUCCUCAACGGCCUGAUAAUUCACAUGCUAUCCAAAUUUGAUUAUUUAAUUAAAUAAAAAAGAAUAAUUUUCACAUUUUAUUUAUAAAAGAGAUACAUGGUUUUGGACUGAUUUUUUUAUCUUUCAAUUGUACUCUUCAUUUAAAUUAUUCUAAUUAUAAUAUUUGUAUAAUAUUAUAUGAUAAAAUAAACAUACAAUUAAUACAAUAGAAAGUAGUUUACAUAAUAGUAAAUUGAAAGAAGAAAAAAGUAACAGCAGAUAUUUAUAUCCACUUUGUAAAUUUUGUAGAUAGGAUAUAUUAAUAUAUAUAUAUAAUUUUUGAAAAUAGAGUCUAAUAUAAGGACAGUAUAUCCAUUAGAAAAUUGAGAAAGAGCCUAUAGGAUUGGAUUGAUUGCUAGUUGCGCCACUCUCAUCACACUUUGCUAUGCUUCCCUGAUUCUCUCAUAAAUCACCAACUUCAACAAUUUUAGCAAAAUUAAUUAAACAAGAUGGAAGGUGGAGUACCAGAGGCUGAUAUCUCAGCUUUUAGAGAAUGUAUGUCUCUUUCAUGUCCUUCGACUUGCUUUCUCUGCUGGUAUUGGUGGCCUUCUCUUUGGUUAUGACACUAGUUAGUUACUUCAUUUUGUUCCAUAUUAUUAUUACUUGUUUUCCUCUGUCUUUGGUUUUAUUUAAUUUUUUGAUUUAUGUAGGAGUCAUAUCUGGGGCGCUAUUAUAUAUCAGAGAUGAUUUCAAAGACAUGGCUUCAGGUACUUACUCUUCUUCAUUUCCAUUAUUUUCAUCUAAACUGCCAAGAAACAAAUGUUUUUUUUCUUUGACUCAUCGGAAUCAUCUCCAUUUCUAUAUAAAAAACAACAUACGAUUUUAGUUUAUAUAAAUAUGAACCAACUUUAAAUAAUUUAAAUAUCUUUUUAAUGAUAAUUAUAUAUAGAAAUGUAUCAUAUGAGAAUGACAUGUUUAUAUGAGAAUGAUGAGAAUGAAUAUGAGCCUUCAGAUUAAAUGGUUGAGAUUAAAUUAUCACUUAAGUGAGUCAUGUGACAUAUGACAAUGUCAUGUGCCAUUCUCAUUCAAAUUCAACUUUCUCUCUCCUCCACAAUCAGAAAUAACUCCCGCCCUAAUUCUUCUCCUUCUUCUCACCGCGUCUCUUUGUAUUCUACAUCUUCUUACCUUAUCUCUCUGCCUUCCACUGUUCUUAUCUCACAUUUCAGAUGCGCUUUCCUUAUUUCUAUAUCUUAAAUGUUUGAUUGCUACUAGUUAUUAUUAUGCAUGUUGCUAGUUAUAUUAUUAUGCAUGCUUUGUUCAUGUGUCCUCUUUUGUCAAUUUAAUCCUCUUUUUAUGAUUAACCAUGGCUUUGUUCAUCUUAUUAUUACUAUUUAUUUUAGCAUGCUAGUUUGUUCAUAUUUCAUCUUUUAUUUGACCAUCUUUUUAUAACAUAUGUUUUCGACAUCUUUUUAGCUAUGUUCAAUUUAAUAAUAAUUUAUUUGUUGUUUUUAUUUCUUUUAGGAUUAAUUUUUUUUAUAAAAUCUACGUAUUAUAUUAAUAUUAAUAGAUAAGAAAAUCAAAAUAUAUUUCUAGUUUUCUCAAAAAAAAAAAAAAUUCUUGUCAACGAAAUAUAGAUUAUACUCUUUUUUGAAGAAAGAUUAUACUCUUGUUUUUUUUUUUUUUUUUUUUUUAAAAAGAUUAUACUCUUUUAAGUAUUUUUUUUUCCCUCAAAAAAAAAAUAUAGUUAUACAAGUAUUAAUAUACAAAUUGCAUAUUUUUAGUUUUUAAGUGGUCGAGUCAUCGAUUCAAUCCGAUUUAAUGUAGUUAAAUACUUAAAAAAAGUUAAUCCUAAACAGAGUCAUCUAACCGAGUUAUACGGUUUAAUCCAGUUCAGUCAUGCAGUUCAAUCAAUGACUCAGUAGUUCGAUCAUUAAUCCAAUAACUCAGUGCCCCUGCCGAAUCGACGACCGAGCCGAGUUUUAAAACUAUGCAAAUAUGACCCCAAUCUCUCAACAUUAGUAUCACUUUGUUUUGUCUGACUUUGUGGAAAUCAUUCAUCGCUCUCUCAUUAUAUAUAAAUAUUUUGCAUAUGAUCCAAACGGUGGUUUGUUUCUCAAUUUCCAAAGAACCAAUUCACCACAACCACCACCUCAACCUCUUUCAAAAUGGAAGGUGAAGUACAUAAGCCUGAUAUAUCAGCUUUUAGAGAAUGUCUUUCCCUUUCAUGGAAAAAUCCUUAUGUCCUUCGUCUUGCUUUUUCUGCUGGUAUUGGUGGCCUUCUCUUUGGCUACGACACUGGUAAUUACACUACAACCUUUUUUCUUUUGGUUUUCCUAUGUUUCAAUCUCUCAUGUUAUCAACCAUUAGUCUAUUUAACAUGUUUUGUUUUGUUUUGUUUUUGUCUCCUUGACACAGGAUACUCAUUAUUAUUGAUAUUAAUUUCUCAUUAAUUAAUUAUAUUACUAUUUUUGAUGGGUUGAUAAUUAAUUUUACUUGUUUUGUAACAUGCAGGUGUCAUAUCUGGGGCUCUUUUGUACAUCAGAGAUGAUUUCAAAGCUGUUGAUACCAAAGUUUGGCUUCAGGUAAAUUUCUUUCAUAUGAUAUGAAUGUGUAUUCUUUAUAUGUGUUUUAAUUUAAUUUCUAUGUACAUACGUUUCUGUUUAACACUCUGUACAACAACAAAAAAAACCUAUGCUUCUCUCUUUUGUUAAACAAGUUCAAUUUUUCUAUACCAUAUUUUUGGAAUUAAAUUUUAAUAGUCGGUUUAGUAAAAAUAUUGAUCAUCUUUAUCUUCUUUUCUUGUUUAUUGGUGAUCAUGGGAAGACCGUUACGGAAAAUUUUAAUUAACAAGAUUAACAUGCGAAGAUUCUCUUUUAUUUAUUGGAUAAUACUUCCUAACUAAAUAAUCCGGAAUAUUUUUAGGGAUAUUUGUUGUUUUUAUUCUUUAAUUUAUGUUUUUAUCAAAACAAAAUCAGUUUUUAGUUAUUUUUAUUUUACUUUAAUAUCUCCUACGUUUUUGAACUAUUUAUUAAGAUUAUUAAAAAAUUAUUUUUGAUUUCUGCGAUAAAUAUAAAAUCAGUUUUUCGGUUUUUCUUCCUUUGGGUUUGAAGACAAUAACAUGCCAGAUAAAUUCACACAUGUUAUUUCCCUAAAUUCUAACAUAUUAAUCUCAAGCUGCAUCGUUAUCAAUCUAUUCACAGUAGCAAGCACUUUAUCACAUGGACCCGUGGCCUACUAUAUUAACUUGGAUGGAUAUACAAAUAAUAACGAAAAAGUAAUAUCAUAGGAGAUACCUAGUUGGAAAUAAAAAUCUUAAUCGGACACAUAAAAAAAAUGAUAAAGAAUUAAGUCAUAAAGUUCAAUUAUUUUUUCUUUUAAUUUUUUUUUUCAUUUAUGUUUGUGUACUUAAAUUUUGUUUUUUUAAUUGUAUUUGUAAUAAGUAAGUAUGUCUCUAAGAAUAUACGUGGGAGAAUUGAAUGAGAGAAUCAUAUUGGAAAAAUGCAGCUACUACUUGAUUGUUUGUUAUUCUAUUUCGUUUUUUUUUUUUUUUUUCUUUCUUCUUCUUUUUUCUCUUUAAACCAUAGAUUUUGGUGGCACAUGGAGUAAAGGUUUAUUUGACACGGAGAAAAUCACUUUUAUAUUCUUUUGUUUAAAGGAGAAAAUCACUUUUACUUAGAAAUUUUUUAUCCGUUUGUUAUCGUCUUUCAAAUAAAGAUAAUCUAAAAAAGAAAUUAAAAAAUGGUUUAAAAUAAGAAUAUUUUUUUACUCAAAACAUGAAGAUAGUAGCUAUCAAAAUCAUUUUUAAAAAAGAAAAAAUAUCUUAUGUGUAGUUUGAUCUCUAAACUUUUAACAAGACCUAAUUACAAAUUACUUAUAAGUUAAUAGACUCAAUUAAAAUUUUGUUUAGAUCAGAAACAUAUUUAAAAAUUCCAAAUAAAUUAGUAUAGUUAUUUUUUUUAAAAUAAAGUGCACGUGAGGUGUAACUUGUAGUAGUAGGUAGUAGUUUUUCCUCUUUUAUAAAAACCAUAAGGUGAAAAAAGAAAGUAGACUUUUCUUUUCGUGAUUAGUAAGAGGUACCUUUUGCAAAUUGAUAGUACAAAACAUUGUGGAAUGAUUAAAUAUAUUAGAAAAGUUACGAAAAAGUAAGUAGUAACCAGCAUGUUUUAGAAAUUUAUAAUUUGUACAAUAAAGAACAUUUGAAGUUUGAUCUUCUUUCAAGUUCCAUGCAAUACAUGCAUAGGAUAUUUUCAUGAUUGGCAUGGUUUGAAUUUGAAUGCAUACAUGAUAUAAUCUAUGUUUAGGUAGAAUCAUGCAUGUUGAAAUACAAUUGUAAAUGUGAUAAUAAUGAUUAAAUUUUUCAAUUUGACAGUCAGCUAUAGUGAGUACUUUACUUGCUGGAGCAGUAAUAGGUGCUGCAGUUGGUGGCUGGAUUAAUGAUCGAUUCGGAAGGAAAAGAUCAAUUAUGAUUGCAGAUACCCUCUUUUUUAUAGGGUCUGCUAUCAUGGCUGCUGCAACCAGCCCUGCUAUUCUCAUCGUGGGCCGUGUUUUUGUCGGACUUGGUGUUGGAAUGGCUUCAAUGGCUUCUCCACUGUACAUUUCAGAAGCUUCGCCUGCUAAAGUGAGAGGUGCCCUUGUAAGCCUCUGUUUGGUUUGGCUUUUGCAAAGCCAGAAUCAAUUCUGGAGCAUUUCAAAAGCAAUUCUGCAAUAUUUAACAUGUUUGGUUUGGCUUUUUAAAAUAGUUUUUAUCCUCCAAAAGCAAUUCUAGUUGAAGCUACAAUUCCUAGCUUCUUACUUUCCUAGAAUCAAUUCUACACCCUCAAUUCUAUUAAUUCCAUCCCUGCCCUCAUUAAUUUAGUAAUUUCUAUUUAUUUGUAUUUAACUAUGUCUAUUUUGGUAAUUAUACAUUCAAAAGUAAUUUUGAUCAAAACUAUCCAAACAACAAUCAUUCUGUUUAAUCAAUUCUGCAUUAUUGUAUCCAAACAUAAAUCAAUUCUGUCAAAAUCAAUUCUUUCAGAAUCAAUUCUGUCAGAAUCAAUUCUACACACCUCAGAACCAAACACACAAGUCUCAACGGUUUUCUCAUCACUGGGGGACAAUUUCUCUCCUAUCUCAUCAACUUGGCCUUCACUAAGGUAUGAAAACUAUUAUAUUAGAUCAUGAUUUUUGUUUCUUUCUCCUUAUAUCGAAAUCAUGUUGUUUGUGCCUUGUAAAAAGAAAAUAAGUUAAUCAUGACACUUUUAUUGAUGAAGCUUUAAAAUGAUUGACAUAAUUAUAAAAUUUUCAAAUAGGAAGGUCCUUUAGGUUGAAAUUGUCGUGAAAUAACUUUUGUGAUUAAGAAUUUCUAAUUCCAAGAUCGUUCCAUGCAUUUUUUUAUUUUACUAAAUUUGUGAUUCAUUCAUUAAAUAUUUCAUUUCAUAAUCUUCUAUCUACCUUAACAUUAUUGAUUAUUGAUUUGUUUAGGCACCUGGAACAUGGAGGUGGAUGCUUGGUGUAGCAGCAUUACCUGCUAUACUACAAUUGCUACUAAUGUUUUGGCUGCCAGAAUCACCUCGUUGGUUGUUUCGAAAGGUUAGUUAAAUCAUCUACAUUGUUUUGUCCAAUGUUGUCAAUCAAUAGUUUGUUCAAAUCCGCUACAAAAACAGUGUCUUAGGGAUGCUACAAUCAUUAUGUGACAGAAUUUUGCUUGUCUCUACAGGGUAAAGAGGAGGAAGGAAAAGCAAUUCUGAGAAAGAUUUACCCAGCAGAAGAAGUUGAUGCUGAAAUUCAGGCUUUAUAGGAAUCAGUUGCAAUGGAAUUGAAGGAAGCUGAAUCUUCAGAAAAGAUAAGUAUGAUCACACUUUUAAAAACUACAAGUGUGAGAAGAGGUUUGUAUGCAGGAAUGGGCCUUCAAAUAUUCCAACAAUUUGUAGGAAUCAAUACCGUAAUGUACUUCAGCCCAACUAUUGUUCAACUAGCUGGUUUUGCAUCUAAUCAAACCGCAAUGCUUCUGUCUCUUAUCACUGCUGGGUUGAAUGCGUUUGGUUCUCUUAUAAGCAUAUAUUUCAUCGAUAAAACCGGGAGAAAGAAGCUAGCUUUGAUUAGUUUGUUUGGAGUUGUCUUAUCACUUGUGCUUCUUACUGUCACUUUCUGACAAACCGAAACUCAUUCUCCAAUGAUAAGUGAAAUAGAAACUUAUCAUUUCAACAACACCUGUCCUGCUUUUACUCCUUCUCGUGGCGGAUGGGACUGCACAAGGUAAAUAUGCAAUCUUCCUCUUUCCAUAGGCCAUUUUUAACUCAUUUCCAUAAAAUUUGCAUGAUAGCUAAUCAAGAGUAUUAUAUAUGCAGCUGUUACCAGGUGCAUGCUUGAUCUCAAAUGACAUGACAAAGAACCAAUGUCAAAAAGGACACAGAUCAUGGUAUACACAAGGAUGUCCUAGCAAAUUGGGUUGGCUUGCACUGAUUGGAUUGGCUCUCUAUAUACUGUUCUUUUCACCUGGAAUGGGGACUGUUCCAUGGGUCAUAAACUCUGAGAUUUACCCUUUAAGGUAUAGAGGAGUCUGUGGAGGAAUGGCUUCAACAAGUGUUUGGAUCUCAAACCUUAUUGUUUCUCAAUCCUUUUUAUCUCUCACACAAGCUAUUGGAGUUGCAUGGACAUUCAUGUUGUUUGGAAUUGUUGCUGUCAUAGCAAGUUCCUUUGUCCUCGUUUUCGUACCAGAAACCAAAGGUGUUCCAAUUGAGGAAGUGGAGAAGAUGCUUCAACAAAGGACUCUGCAAUUCAAGUUUUGGAAUAAGAGAAUCGCCUCUCAGAAGGGUUGAGUCAGUUUGAGUUAGUUUAUGACUAUUUUCUUAGGAUCUGCAUUAAUAAUGUUUUCAUAUUUUUAGUGUUUUGAUUUUAUGCUUUUUUGGAUUACCAGCUUAAAAAAUAAGUGGAAUGAAUAUCCACAUUGUGAAUAUAAAAUUAUGCUACUCAACAUUUGGUAAAUUAGAGCUUUCACUGUUUCACAUCUCAAAUAUCUAAUCGUUUUGUCUUUUUGUUUUCAAUAUUCUUUAUUCACAAUGAUGGCAAGGAUUCUUGCUUGGUGUUUACUAUACUUGAGUAUUAAUGUAGUCACUCUUAUUUUACACUUUACUUGAUACCCGUGCAAUUACCCUCCAAAAUUAUACAAAUUAAAUACAGAGACUUCGUGAGGAAAAGGAAUCAAUCAAGAUUGAAAUAGAACUAUUAGAAUAAGUGGUUUGGUUUAAUACAACUCCAUAAAACUAAUUUGUAAAGUGAGAUUGCACCUAUUUAUAAACACAUAUUUAAGUUAUAUCUAAUUUAAUGUGAAAUUUUUUAAUACUCUUUCACGUCCAUCAUUAUUGAGUUUAGUGUGUAGAUAUAAAUAGUUGGUAGUCCGAUAACGAAAUCCUAAUAGGAAGUGAUCCUACGAGAAUCUUCUGAAGACUAUGAUACUAUUGUAGGAUUUUUUUAUAUUGGCCUAAUUCAUCUCAAUGUACACUAUUAUCAAGAGUCAUAUUUUCUAAGUGGGACUUCAGAUUUUCUCAUAACACCCCUUUGCGUUCAACAUUAUUGGCCUUGGUGCGUGGAUAUAAAUGAUUGAUGAUGAUAAUAGAAACCUGAUAACAAAUAACCCAACUGAUAUUGGAGGAUGCUUUGAUAUCAUAUUAGAAUAUGUGGUUGGGUUUAACAGAAGGCCCCUAAUUAAUCAAUUUUAUAGGGAAAAAAAAUUUGACACGUAUAAAUUUAAGUGAAUUAUUAUCUUUGCUUUUGUAUGUAGACAAAGUGGGAAGCACCAACCGUCAUUUUAGUCUUCAAAAUUGUACAAGUCGACACAAUUUGGUCCUCUAAUUUACCAAAUAUUAUAGUCCCAAAAGUUGAAGAUCAUCAAUUUAUUUAGUCAUUGCUUCGAUCAAUUUAUUCUCCAAGAUUUUCUCUGGAUUUGUGAUUCUCUACUUAUGUUCAAUUUUCAUGCACAAACGUUGUUUUGAGUUGGCUUGGGCAUCGAUAUUGUAUUGUAUCAUAAGUAUAGAAGUAUAAACAAGUACGUUUUCUUAAUCGUUGAAAAAAACAAGACAACAACAUGAUCGGUUUGGAAGGAAAAUUACAAUCCUUUAUGCAGAUGGACUAUUCUUUGCUGGAUCAGUAAUCAUGGCUAUUGCACCUAACCCAACAAUUCUAAUUGGAUAUAAAAAAUAAAAUACAUUCAUGUUCUUAUGGAUGUUUGAACCUUUUUUCCUUCUUUCACCUAUAGUUGUUAGUUUUUACAUUAUAUAUGCACAUUUUCCCACCAAAAUAUGUAUAUCACCACAUAACAAAUUUUAAAAUUUUGCAAAUCGAUGUUAUUAUGCAUAUUAUGGAAUUGAUCCCUCAACUUUUUAAAAAUGAAGAGAAUAAAAUUCUAAUUUCCUCAGAAUUUCCAAUGAUUCCGUCAAAUUCGAACGGUUAGAAACUGAGUUACUUUUUUUUUUCUUUCUAUUAUCAGCUGCCUGGAACAUGGAGAUGGAUGUUAGGAAUGGCCGCAGUACCAGCUGUUGUACAACUUGCACUUAUGUUUUCACUCCCAGAAUCACCACGUUGGCUAGCUAUACCGAAAAGUUAGUGCUCAUUCAUCAUCAUCAUCAUCAAUUUUCUAAGAUUUUGUUUUCCUUAUUAAGGUGCUUAUAGAAUAACUUAUCCAUAGUUUAUAUAAACUUAUCGUACAUAAGUGCUAAUUUAUAAAAAUGGUUUAUGACACGUACAUAAGUGCUUUCCACUCAUUAAGCUCUGUAUGAUAAAACAAAUAUGAGAACAAUUUAACUUUAUUUCAUCUUUGAUAAUAGCGAAAAUUUAUACAAUAUGAUUGGUUUUGCCAAUAUGUAAUAGGGAAGGAAAGAGGAAAGUAUAGCAAUUUUGAAGAAGAUUUAUCCACCUGAGGAAGUUGAAGCUGAGAUCAAAGUUUUGAGUGAAUCAACUGAAAAGGAAAUUAAGGAAGCAGAAUUUUCAAACAACAUAACAAUAGUACAAAUGAUGAAAACCAAAGCUAUAAGGAGAGGUUUAUAUGCAGGAAUGGGACUUGCAAUUUUCCAACAAUUUGUUGGAAUCAACACUGUCAUGUACUAUACUACAGUCCAGCCAUUAUUCAGUUAGCCGGUUUUGCAUCCAAUCAAACGGCACUUCUUCUGUCACUCAUAACAUCUGGACUAAAUGCAUUUGGUUCCAUUUUAAGCAUGUAAUUGAUUGAAAAAAGCGGAGAAAGAAACUCGCUUUAAUAAGUUUGACAGGAGUUGUAGGAUCACUAAUUCUUCUUACCGUUGUUUUUCAUCAGACUGCGAUUACCUCACCACUUAUUAGUCCAACUGAAACUGCUAACUUCAAUUCCACUUGCCCUGGUUACUCUAAAGCUAUUGACCCUGCUAAAUGGGAUUGUAUGACUUGUCUUAAAGAUGAAUCAAAUUGUGGCUUCUGUGAUUCCACCGAUAAGGUAAACAAAGUAGUUUAAAUUUAUUAUGCUCUUGUAUAUAUUCAUCGUUGUUAAGAGCUCUUAUACAUAAUCUUGUAUCAAAUGUUGGGUUUGCAGCUAAAACCGGGGGCAUACUUAAUCCAAGACGACGCAUCUAAGGAGCGCUGCGCAUCACAACACAGAGAUUGGUACACACAAGGAUGUCCAAGCAAUAUAGGAUGGUUGGCGAUAGUUGGUUUAGCAGUCUACAUAAUAUUCUUUUCACCAGGAAUGGGAACGGUUCCAUGGGUUAUCAACUCUGAAAUACACCCUUUAAGGUAUAGAGGAAUAUGUGGAGGAAUAGCAUCAACAACAGUGUGGGUCUCUAACCUCAUUGUUUCUCAAUCCUUUUUAUCUGUCAUAGAACUUCUUGGGACUGCAUGGACAUUCCUGGCUUUUGGAGUAAUUAGUUGUAUGGCCAUUGUUUUUGUUAUUAUUUUUGUCCCAGAAACUAAGGGAGUUCCAAUGGAGGAGAUGGAAAAAUUACUUGAAGAAAGAAAACUUGGUUUCGAUCUUGGGAACAAACCUAGCUCAUAAGUUAAGCUCGUGACGAGUCCUAUAUAUGUCAUCGAAAAAUAAAUAAAUUGAACAAGGCCAUUAUAUAUGUACGUGUAUACCCCAUUUCAUAUAUGUACAAUUUAAAUAAUGUACCAAGUUGAAUACAGCAUAUUGCUCUAUGUUCUUCUUUCAUUUAUUUAUACCGUGUACUUCAAGUUAACUAACAUAUGCUUUUUGGUUGGACUUUUUUAUGAACAAAUUUACCUUUAGGAACUAAAUUUUUUGUAAUUAUGUAAAUUUUAAUCCAAUAUUGUUCAGAAAAAUUUACCUUGGAAUAAAUUUAAAUCCAAUACUCUCCUUUAGAAUUUUUAAAUUCUAAGGGUAAAUAAUAUGUUAUAAGUUUAAAAAAAUGAGAGAAAAAAAGAUCAAUUGUGUGUUUGAGAUGACAAUAUUGACAGAAUGAUAGCCAACCGCCGAGUACUCUUUUAAAUUCUAAAGAAGUGAUGGUUAGUAUAAUUCAUUCCGUCAAUAUUAUCAUCUCAAACGCACAUUCAUCUUUUUCUCUAUUGUUUUCUUGUACAUCUUGAGAUAGUUCACCUUUUAAAGGCCUGGUCAUCACUAAAACACAACAUUUAGGCCUCUUUGUUGCUCCUGCAGUUGCAAGGUCCUAUUAUACAAAGAGGUUAGAUAUAUACCUACCUCUUUUUACAAGCUUGAGGGUUUUCUUGAAAAGCUUGUUUGCAGCAAGAGGUUAAGCAACGGAAGCUGGUGCAAGCAAUAUCUUCUUCCUCUCCUUCUCUUCCAGCACCAAGUCACUCCCCAUUUCUCUCUUGCUUCGAUGAAAGAGGUUUUACGGUCUCCCAAAUCUCAAGCUUGGCGGUUUCUAUUAAAAGUAGAGAUUUAAUAUUGAAAAUAGCAAUUUUUAAACUUCUAAACAUUUGAAUAUAUGAUUCUUGAGACAAAAUUACUAUAUAUAGUUACUUUUUAGAAUUGUAUCUCCCCAAUAUUUUCAUAAACGAUACGGUUUGGUUUGGAUUGGUUGUGAGACAAAAAAUCAUUCAAACAAAAAAUUUAAAGGAUUGUGCUUCGGUUCAGUUUAAAUGACUUAAAAAAACGAUCAAACCCAAACCUGAUUUUUUAUGUAGUUAGUUUGGAUCAAAUUUUGGAUAUCAACUCUUUAAAAAUAUAAAGUGUAAAAAAUCUCAAUUUUUCUUUCACGUCUUAAAUUAGACUUUAUUAAGUCUAAUGUGUGAUGUUAGAUUUCUUAUGAUAAUUUUAUAGUUAAAUCAUGUCAGACUUUAUGUCAAUGUGUAGGGAUGUUAAUAUUAUCCAUAAAUGUGGAUCCCAUAAAGAAAUUACGCACAUGAAGAAAAGAAUGAGGGAGAAAAAAAAAACCCAAAUAUAAUGCAGAAAUGAGAAUGAGUAUCGUCUCUCGACUCCCAUGACGGGAAACAAUUUGAAUGGUGGGACACAAGGACGAAAAAUAUUCCUUGCGAUCAUGUCCCAACCCCGCCCCAUUGACAUCCUUGGAGCCCUAUGAUUUAUUUAUUUUUGAGGGAAACCUAUGAUGUGUUGGUUGAUUAAAAAAACAAGAAAAAUAACGCCCAAUAUAAAAACCUAAAACAUCCCCUCCAAAAAAAAAACUAACACAAAACUUGGGUUUUGGGUUUAGCUAACUUGUUUAAGAAGUCGCAGCUUGUGAGAAACCGCGAUUUUGAGAAGAUCUUGCAGCAUGCCUACCGUGAGUGUAGGGCGGGAUCGUCUGUUUGCAGCUCUAGGAAAAACUUACAGUAAGUCACCUUCCAUUUCUUCUCCUUUCAAUCAAUCUCUAAUAUCAUUCUUCAAUUAUUUUCAUGAAUUUCCAUUUCUCCAGCACAAGAGGAAUUUGAAGACCUAUGCUUCAGUUUUGGAAUUGAGCUUGACGAUGUUGUAAGUUACUUUCCCUUUUAAUUUCCAACUAAUUAUCAUCAUAAUCUCGUUAAUUAAUUAAUUAAUUAAUACACUAUCAUUGUAUAUUAGACUACAGAAAAAGCAAUUGUAAGAAAAGAGAAGCAUUUAGAACAAGAAGAAGCUGAUGAGGAUGAAGAAGUUAUCUAUAAAAUUGAAAUUCCUGCUAAUAGGUACCCACCCCCUAUCAUUAUAGUCCCUGCAAUUAUACCGUUUUUAUGGUUUUAGUCUUGUAAGUGUUUUUGUUUGGGUUCCGUCCUUGCAAAUUCUAAAACACUUGUUUUUAGUCCCUGAAGUCAUACGUGGCACAAUAUAAUCAAGCCACGUGGCCCAUCAAGGUGACGUGAGGGACCCAAAAACAACUGAGGACUGAACCCAAACAAAAAAACUUGCGGGAACUUAUACCAAAAUCCUUAUAAUUGCAGAGACUAAAAUCAUAUUUAAACCUAUAUUCUAUGUUUGUGUUAUAGAUGUGAUGUGAAUCAACAAAAUGUGUUAAUGACAUGAUGAUUGAGUAAAUGUUGCAACUCUAAUCUAGAUUUUUAAUGUUUAAGUUUUUCGGUUAUCCUCUUAAUUUUUUACUUUGAUUUGGGAUUCGUAAUCUAUAUUGUAUUUGAAAUAAGCUUUUGAGUACAUCAGUGGAUAUUGACGAUAAAAAUUCAAACUUGAUACUUGGUUAAAUUGGAAUGGAUGUGAUAGUGCUUGCUUCCCUAUUGUGUUAGGACCUAGUAUGAGAGGGUGUUUUAAGUAAUUAGUAGGUAGUUAGUUAGGUUUAAGUAAUUAUUAGUAAGUGGCCCGUUAGGAUUAGGAUUUAAUAAUAAGAGGCCCAUUAGAGUUAAAUACUAGAAUGUUCUCUUUAUUUGUAUAUAAAGGGGAAUUCUUAGGAGUUUAGAGUAUGACAGAUUGAGUUUUCUGUUCAGGGCCAGAGUAGGAUUCCUCUCUGAGUAGUGUCGGAGCUUUGCUCUGGGAGUAGUUAGAGAAUCUCUCUUCUACUAUUUUACUAUUUUCGUUCGUAUCAAUAAACCACCCUAUUUUCUUUAUUCACUAUUUGUUUCUUCUUUUGUUAGUUCAUUGGUAGGAUCCUUGAGGUUCCUAUCAUAUUGUUGGAAAACAAAGUUGGAAUACUCAUUAUGAAUGAUGUGGUACAUCAUUUUCUCAAAGCAAUAACUCACUUAAUUAUGUAACCAUUUGAAGCAAAUCAUCACACAUUGUCACUGUUAUCAUAUGUGGAAAAAGUGUUAGUUUUCUUUAAAGCAAAAUGUCACGCUGAAUUGCUGUUUACUUUUUGCUCAGAUAUGACUUACUCUGCCUUGAAGGAUUGGCUCAAGCCCUCCGAGUUUUCUGUGGGUUCCAGGAAAUCCCUACUUACAAAUUGGCUGACAUUAGUAAGGAUGCAAUGCAUAAAAUACAUGUAAAGCCAGAGGUAGGCAUGCUGUGCAUAUACACAAUUUUUUAGUACAAGCCUUUGUUAAGUGGAAAAUGAAUUGUUUCUUUUGUCUCAUUGCAGACAUCUCUAAUUCGUCCAUAUGUUGUUUGUGCUGUAUUAAGAGGUUUAACUUUUGAUAAAGCGAGAUACAACAGCUUUAUUGAUCUCCAAGACAAGCUUCACCAAAAUAUUUGUCGGUAAUGUGAUUUGAAUCGCCACUUUAUUUGUUUUAUGCUGCACAUUACCUGUUUCUCAUAUCAGUGAUGUACUUGCUCCUAUCUGUUUACUUAAGCAUUUUAGAGCCAUCUUUAGUCAAAUAUGCUUCCGUAGCAGACUUCUAGUGAAGGAUAAUUUUGUAUUGUAAGUGUCUGUGGAUUGAAUAGCUUGCAAAGCAAGCCGUUGUAGCUGUAUAAAUUAGUUUAGCAGAAUUCAUAUGUUUGGGUAAUUUUCUGUAAAACAAAUAUAUCACCUAAAUUUUGUC